UAUGAAGAGAAUUGGCCAACUU
rnacentral:siRNA from 1 species